AAAAAGAGGAGUGGCGAACGGGUGAGUAACACGUGGGUAACCUGCCCAUCAGAAGGGGAUAACACUUGGAAACAGGUGCUAAUACCGUAUAACAAUCGAAACCGCAUGGUUUUGAUUUGAAAGGCGCUUUCGGGUGUCGCUGAUGGAUGGACCCGCGGUGCAUUAGCUAGUUGGUGAGGUAACGGCUCACCAAGGCCACGAUGCAUAGCCGACCUGAGAGGGUGAUCGGCCACAUUGGGACUGAGACACGGCCCAAACUCCUACGGGAGGCAGCAGUAGGGAAUCUUCGGCAAUGGACGAAAGUCUGACCGAGCAACGCCGCGUGAGUGAAGAAGGUUUUCGGAUCGUAAAACUCUGUUGUUAGAGAAGAACAAGGAUGAGAGUAACUGUUCAUCCCUUGACGGUAUCUAACCAGAAAGCCACGGCUAACUACGUGCCAGCAGCCGCGGUAAUACGUAGGUGGCAAGCGUUGUCCGGAUUUAUUGGGCGUAAAGCGAGCGCAAGCGGUUUCUUAAGUCUGAUGUGAAAGCCCCCGGCUCAACCGGGGAGGGUCAUUGGAAACUGGGAGACUUGAGUGCAGAAGAGGAGAGUGGAAUUCCAUGUGUAGCGGUGAAAUGCGUAGAUAUAUGGAGGAACACCAG
rnacentral:rRNA from 1 species